AAGCAUAGGAAAGAGCAGGGACCGAGGCGGAGCAGGCCUAGCUGAGGACCACCACAGCAGAGUAGACGGGACCGAAGAUCCCUACGGCGAGGCAGACGACCACCACAGCAGA